GACGAACGCUGGCGGCGUGCCUAAUACAUGCAAGUAGAACGCUGAAGGAGGAGCUUGCUUCUCUGGAUGAGUUGCGAACGGGUGAGUAACGCGUAGGUAACCUGCCUGGUAGCGGGGGAUAACUAUUGGAAACGAUAGCUAAUACCGCAUAAGAGUAGAUGUUGCAUGACAUUUGCUUAAAAGGUGCAAUUGCAUCACUACCAGAUGGACCUGCGUUGUAUUAGCUAGUUGGUGAGGUAACGGCUCACCAAGGCGACGAUACAUAGCCGACCUGAGAGGGUGAUCGGCCACACUGGGACUGAGACACGGCCCAGACUCCUACGGGAGGCAGCAGUAGGGAAUCUUCGGCAAUGGACGGAAGUCUGACCGAGCAACGCCGCGUGAGUGAAGAAGGUUUUCGGAU
rnacentral:rRNA from 1 species